AUGAGAAUUGCGCACGAUAGCAGUUAUGCAGGGUUCGUGCGCAGCACGGAGAGGGGUAGAAGAAAGCUUGGAGGAUCAGAAAUUGGCAUGAGAAAAUCAACAGGAGAGAGUAUGCCCUUGACAAUGUCAGGCAGUGAUUCCACUCCUCUCGUCGACCAGGAUAUACCCUCCAGAAACAACCUCAUGAUUGGCGAGGAGGGCCAACGACACUCAGGAGAUCCUCGCAAGCACCCUCUACUCCUCUCGUCGAUCAAGAUAUGUCCUCCGGAGACAACCUGA